AGCAAAGUAAACUAAAGGUAAGUUUCUAGGCUCAUACCCUGGCUAUAAAAGUUCGAUUCUUUUCUUUGCUA
rnacentral:tRNA from 1 species